UACGGAGGGUGCAAACGUUGCUCGGAAUCAUUGGGCGUAAAGCGCACGUAGGCGGCUUCUUAAGUCGGUGGUGAAAUCCUGGAGCUCAACUCCAGAACUGCCUUCGAUACUGGGAAGCUCGAGUCCGGGAGAGGUGAGUGGAACUGCGAGUGUAGAGGUGAAAUUCGUAGAUAUUCGCAAGAACACCAGUGGCGAAGGCGGCUCACUGGCCCGGUACUGACGCUGAGGUGCGAAAGCGUGGGGAGCAAACAGG
rnacentral:rRNA from 1 species